CAAGGCGCCGGAAGUGGGGUGUGGAGUCGCGCGGCGUGCUGUCAGUCUCUGUAGCGGAGAACUCCUGCGGUCGUGGGACUCUACCAGGCCGCGCGGGCUUUCCCGGUCCCCUCGGGCUGCGCGAUCCGGAGGGCACAAUGGACAGCAAUGAGUUAAUUGACUACUUUAAGUCUCAGAUGAAAGAAGAUCCUGACAUGGCCUCAGCAGUAGCUGCCAUCCGGACUUUGCUGGAGUUCUUGAAGAGAGAUGAAGGGGAGACAAUCCAGGGCCUGCGAGCGAAUCUCACCUGUGCCAUAGAAACCCUGUGUGGCGUGGACUCUUCUGUGGCCGUGUCCUCCGGUGGGAAGCUCUUCCUGCGCUUCAUCAGCCUGACCUCUCUAGAAUAUUCGGAUUACUCUAAAUGUAAAAAGAUCAUGAUCGAGCGGGGAGAAAUUUUUCUCAGGAGAACAUCCCUAUCAAGAAAUAAAAUUGCAGAUCUGUGCCAUACUUUCAUCAAAGAUGGGGCGAGAAUAUUAACUCAUGCCUACUCCAGAGUGGUCCUGAGAGUUUUGGAGGCAGCAGUGGUGGCCAAGAAGCGUUUCAGUGUGUACAUCACAGAGUCACAGCCCGACUUAUCGGGUAAGAAAAUGGCCAGAGCUCUCUGCCACCUCAACGUCCCUGUCACUGUGGUCCUGGAUGCUGCUGUUGGUUAUAUCAUGGAGAAAGUGGAUCUUGUCAUAGUUGGUGCUGAAGGAGUUGUUGAAAACGGAGGGAUUAUCAACAAGAUUGGAACCAACCAGAUGGCCGUGUGCGCCAAAGCCCAGAACAAGCCUUUUUAUGUUGUUGCGGAAAGUUUCAAGUUUGUACGACUCUUCCCACUAAACCAGCAGGAUGUCCCAGAUAAGUUUAAGUAUAAGGCAGAUACUCUGAAGACUAUGCAGACCAAACAAGAUCUCAAAGAGGAGCACCCAUGGGUCGACUACACGUCCCCUUCCUUAAUAACACUGCUGUUUACAGACCUGGGGGUGCUGACGCCCUCAGCGGUCAGCGACGAGCUCAUCAAGCUGUAUCUGUAACCCCCGGGCCCCUUCCUGCCGCCGCACAGCUGAUGUACCUGGGGCGGGACUGAUUUGCCAAAAGCAUCGAUUAAAGAGAUGCAGGCCUGAAAAAGCAGGUGUUCCUACAGGCAGCCAGGCGCCCCUGUGGAAACCAACAGCCACCCAGGACACAUAAGUGGUGCCUUAGGAGAAAGGCUGGAAACCCAGACUGAAGUCACAUCAGACUUCCAGUAGAGACCUCAAGCCCGGGGCUGCCAUCCCAACAUCGGUAUUGGGACAGACGGGAAGGAAACCAAGAGAACCCAAGGAAGGUAGAAACAGCAUUUAGCAGGAGCAGCCUCCGUGGCCUCAGCACAUACGAAGACCUUCCAGAACAUCUGUAAACUGAAAGUCUGUAUCUGCAGGAGAUGUGAAUUACCUUUAAAACAUGUUUGCUCCUGAACAGCUUUUUAAAAAUUGUACCUGGGGACAAAUCCAGCAUCUUCUCAAAUAAACUACACGCAAGAUUUUUCUA